CAAUUAUUAGACUUUAGGCAUUAUAGAAUGCUUGCUUUAUUUGUAAAAUAAAUAAACAUUUCUUGCUUAGCAGCAAUGUUAGUUGCGAAUAAAUUAAUCUAUUUAAAUUAUUUCAAUUUGACAACUUCUAAUUAUAAAAUCCCUUUGUGCAACGCGUGCGUCCUUCGAUGCUGAUGUGCGUAACUAAAAGCUUUUCCUUCUCGUUCUUUCUGUUUUAUGCAGGAGAGAGCUCCUUCAAAAUGCUUUCUCUCUUAACAUAACGCUAACCCUCCUUUUCUCGCUUCCAUUCAUCAACCAUUCUCAAAACAAAAAAAACAUUUGAAGGUCGUCGCUUGCUUCGUUGCAGGUCUUUGGCUGGUUGGCCCGGUUUCCAGGUUACCCGUUCGCCUGUGCCUGCUGUUAUGAUGAUGUUGGUUUUGUGAGAAUGAUAAAUUGAAAAAAAAGUAAUAGUACCACGGAGCGUAAACAAAAGGUGUGGCUUUAAAGCGUUGGGUGGAUAAAACGUGCCGGGCAAAUACAAAAUACUAACACUCCACAGAGACUAAUCGGAAUCCUCUAAUCAUGCAGUAUUGCUCGCCAGGAAUUAAGUACCGUCCCAGGCGUCUUAAAGCGAAAGGAUAAUCCGUAAUGAAGCGUCGUGAUUUUGACAUGACAUGAGAGUGAUUUUCAGAUGGCAGGGAGCUUAUGCUCGCAUGAUGAAGAACAAUCACUAAACACACGCAAAGGUGACGGCAUUUCAAGUGUGGAUGAUGACAUCAUUUUGUGUUUGAGGAGGUUUUGUUUUCAUUUCAUUUAUGAUCUUUCUUGUUCACGGACCUUACUCCAUUACACUGCUACAACUGCAUUGUAUGGAGAGGUCAAUCAACUUUGGAGUCGUUCACCACACGUGUCGCGACAAUCCAUCCGGAACGAAUCGAUCAUCACCGAUGCUACUCGGCCCAGAAGAACUGGCUCAGGAACCGGUAUUAUACAUUCAUUUCCAGCCGUUCUAACGGUAGCGUCGGAUGCAUUACAUGGUUGUCCAUUAAUAAAUGGGGCGUCGCCCAAGCGGACAUUUACUAUUAUCAGCAAUGGAAACCGGUCCAUUCCUCCGACGAGGGCAUUUUAAUGAGCGUUCGAUUAGUAGACCGGUAAAAGCGCUCAUUCUGACUACCACACGGAAAGCUUUCCGACGGAAAAACUCUAACCAAACAGGCUAAUUUGUAAUCCCGACACCCACUACCCCGUCACUACAUGCUUAGCAACUUUGCGAACGUUUUUGGCAAAUUUAUAGAUUUUUUUUUAAAUUUUUUUUAUUAGUUUUUUAUUCUAUUUAAAGCAUUAUUUCACCAAAACGGUCAGGCCGUUGUAUCUGAAUAAAAAAAGCAUUAUUUGAGUGAAACUAAACUUAUUUCAAUCAAUUCGCAGUAAAAUAAAUCUAUAUCUAUAAAAUUCUCGUGUCGCGGUGUUAGUGUGCAAACUCCUCCGAAACGGCUGAACCGAUUUGUAUGAAAUUUUCGAUGAACGUUCGUUAGAUAUGAGAAUAGGUUUACCACCUACUUUUCAUUUCGCUAGGUGGCCCCUGGCGAAUAUUAUGAGUUCUUUUCUGAUUUUCAUACGGGAGUUAUCAAUAGGCAUAGCCUAUUAUAUUUUUUUAUUAUUUUUUAUUCUUUUUAAUUUAAAGAAUUAUUUGAGUGAAAAAAAACUUAUUUCAAGCAAGUCGCAUUAACAUAUAUCACCUUUAUAAAUUUUGCUAUAUUGCUUAAAAAUGAAGAAAAUUUUACAUUUUCUCAAACAGGGUAUGGAACUUGGUUCCUCGAAUAACUUUUGGCACAAACAUCUGAGGACAUGGCCGUCCAAGAAGAAAAUGUAGCCAUUGAUGCCAUCUAUCGACCACAGGUUAAAGAUUGGCGAUCCGUUGAAUACCGACAGAGUUAUAGGCAAAAUUUGGUUCAAAAAUGAGCCUUUUGAAAUUUUUAAAUUUAUAUAAUUUUUUUAAUUUUUUCUGAUUUUUUAUUCUUUUUUUAAUUUAAAGCAUUAUUUGAGUGUAAAGAAACUUAUUUGAACCAAUUGGCAUUAAAAUAAAUCAAUUUAAUUUUUUUUGCAAAAUUUCUCAAAAAAAAACGUAAGGGGUAAGCCUUAUGAAAUUUUCGAGUUGAAAAUUUUUUAAAUUUUUUUUCUGAUUUUUUAUUCUUUAUUUAACUUAAAGCAUUAUUUGAGUGAAAAGAAAGUUAUUGCAACAAAUUCCCAUUAAAAUAUAUGACAUUUAAAAAUUUUGCUAAAUUGCUCAAAAAUGAAGAAAAUUUUACGUUUUCUCAAACAGGGUAUGGAACUUGGUUCCUCGAAUAAUUUCUGACACAGACAUCUGAGGGCAUGGCCGUCCAAGAAGAAAAUGUAGCCAUUGGUGUCAUCUAUCGACCACAGUUUAAAGAUUGGCGAUCCGUUGGAUACCGACCAAGUUAUAGGCAAAACUUGGUGCAAAAAUGAAGAAAAUUUUACAUUUUCUCAAACAGGGUAUGGAACUUGGUUCCUCGAAUAACUUUUGGCACAAACAUCUGAGGACAUGGCCGUCCAAGAAGAAAAUGUAGCCAUUGAUGCCAUCUAUCGACCACAGGUUAAAGAUUGGCGAUCCGUUGGAUACCGACCGAGUUAUAGGCAAAACUUGGUGCAAAAAUGAAGAAAAUUUUACAUUUUCUCAAACAGGGUAUGGAACUUGGUUCCUCGAAUAACUUUUGGCACAAACAUCUGAGGACAUGGCCGUCCAAGAAGAAAAUGUAGCCAUUGAUGCCAUCUAUCGACCACAGGUUAAAGAUUGGCGAUCCGUUGAAUACCGACAGAGUUAUAGGCAAAAUUUGGUUCAAAAAUGAGCCUUUUGAAAUUUUUAAAUUUAUAUAAUUUUUUUUAUUUUUUUCUGAUUUUUUAUUCUUUUUUUAAAUUUAAAGCAUUAUUUGAGUGAAAAGAAACUUAUUUGAACCAAUUGGCAUUAAAAUAAAUCAAUUUAAUUUUUUUUGCAAAAUUUCUCAAAAAAAAACGUAAGGGGUAAGCCUUAUGAAAUUUUCGAGUUGAAAAUUUUUUGAAAUUUUUUUUCUGAUUUUUUAUUCUUUAUUUAACUUAAAGCAUUAUUUGAGUGAAAAGAAAGUUAUUGCAACAAAUUCCCAUUAAAAUAUAUGACAUUUAAAAAUUUUGCUAAAUUGCUCAAAAAUGAAGAAAAUUUUACGUUUUCUCAAACGGGGUAUGGAACUUGGUUCCUCGAAUAAUUUCUGACACAGACAUCUGAGGGCAUGGCCGUCCAAGAAGAAAAUGUAGCCAUUGGUGUCAUCUAUCGACCACAGUUUAAAGAUUGGCGAUCCGUUGGAUACCGACCGAGUUAUAGGCAAAACUUGGUGCAAAAAUGAGGAAAAUUUUACAUUUUCUCAAACAGGGUAUGGAACUUGGGUCCUCGAAUAACUUUUGGCACAAACAUCUGAGGACAUGGCCGUCCAAGAAGAAAAUGUAGCCAUUGAUGCCAUCUAUCGACCACAGGUUAAAGAUUGGCGAUCCGUUGAAUACCGACAGAGUUAUAGGCAAAAUUUGGUUCAAAAAUGAGCCUUUUGAAAUUUUUAAAUUUAUAUAAUUUUUUUAUUUUUUUCUGAUUUUUUAUUCUUUUUUUAAUUUAAAGCAUUAUUUGAGUGUAAAGAAACUUAUUUGAACCAAUUGGCAUUAAAAUAAAUCAAUUUAAUUUUUUUUGCAAAAUUUCUCAAAAAAAAACGUAAGGGGUAAGCCUUAUGAAAUUUUCGAGUUGAAAAUUUUUUGAAAUUUUUUUUCUGAUUUUUUAUUCUUUAUUUAACUUAAAGCAUUAUUUGAGUGAAAAGAAAGUUAUUGCAAUAAAUUCCCAUUAAAAUAUAUGACAUUUAAAAAUUUUGCUAAAUUGCUCAAAAAUGAAGAAAAUUUUACGUUUUCUCAAACAGGGUAUGGAACUUGGUUCCUCGAAUAAUUUCUGACACAGACAUCUGAGGGCAUGGCCGUCCAAGAAGAAAAUGUAGCCAUUGGUGUCAUCUAUCGACCACAGGUUAAAGAUUGGCGAUCCGUUGAAUACCGACAGAGUUAUAGGCAAAAUUUGGUUCAAAAAUGAGCCUUUUGAAAUUUUUAAAUUUAUAUAAUUUUUUUAUUUUUUCUGAUUUUUUAUUCUUUUUUUAAUUUAAAGCAUUAUUUGAGUGUAAAGAAACUUAUUUGAACCAAUUGGCAUUAAAAUAAAUCAAUUUAAUUUUUUUGCAAAAUUUCUCAAAAAAAAACGUAAGGGGU